rnacentral:rRNA from 1 species
UAGGGAAUCUUCCGCAAUGGACGAAAGUCUGACGGAGCAACGCCGCGUGAGUGAAGAAGGAUUUCGGUUCGUAAAACUCUGUUGUUAGGGAAGAAAAAAUGUAUAGUAACUAUAUACAAAAGAGACGGUACCUAACCAGAAAGCCACGGCUAACUAUGUGCCAGCAGCCGCGGUAAUACGUAGGUGGCAAGCGUUGUCCGGAAUUAUUGGGCGUAAUGCGCGAGCAGGUGGUUUAGAAAGUCUGAUGUGAAAGCCAACGGCUCAACCGUGGAGGAUCAUUGGAAACUAAUAAACUUGAGUGCAGGAGAGAAAAGUGGAAUUCCUAGGGUAGCGGUGAAAUACGUAGAGAUUAGGAGGAACACCGGUGGCGAAAGCGGCUUUUGGGCCUGCAACAGACACUGAGGCGCGAAAGCGUGGGGAGCAAACAGG